CAAUAUUUAGUGGGGCCAUUCCAGUAAUUUUUUUUUGAUGAGAUAAGUAUGAUGAGUAAACAAGUACGGAGGAUGAAAUGAAGAAACACAGAAAGCUGUAAUGAUAGGAGCUGUAGAAGGACAGUGGAAAGAGACAGGAAAGUCAUGAGAUCUGGAAGUGCAGACUCAACCUGAACUUUCAUUGUCCUCUGUUUUUAAUGAUGCCCAUAAUGGACCAGAGGGACUGUUACACCAGAGAAGCAGAUGUUUGAAGAAGCUUGGGGGAUGUCUGUGACUUCAAAUCAGUGAUGGCAGUAUGUUACCUUGGCAGAUGUAUCCCGAGAGGCUUGAUUAAAUUCACACCCCAGUCUCCGGUCCCAGUGGAGUGUGCAGACCGAGC
ensembl:lncRNA